AGGCGACGGAUUGGGAGCAGUGGC
rnacentral:siRNA from 1 species